UACGGAGGGUGCAAGCGUUAAUCGGAAUUACUGGGCGUAAAGCGCACGUAGGCGGACUCUUAAGUCGGUGGUGAAAUCCUGGAGCUCAACUCCAGAACUGCCUUCGAUACUGAGAGUCUCGAGUCCGGGAGAGGUGAGUGGAACUGCGAGUGUAGAGGUGAAAUUCGUAGAUAUUAGGAAGAACACCAGUGGCGAAGGCGGCUCACUGGCCCGGUACUGACGCUGAGGCGCGAA
rnacentral:rRNA from 1 species